rnacentral:lncRNA from 1 species
AAGGGACUGCUCCAGGCCUCAGUGGAUGUCUGAGGGGACAUUGCUGUGGGAACCACCCAGGACACUAAAGGAAUGCCUUUGACUGGAGAUACAUUUUACCUCUGAGAAUGAAGUCCAAAGACAGGAUGAACCUCAUUCUUGUUUGAAAGCAAAAAAAGACAACCAUUCUCUUCCUCUUCUCCCUUCUUCUCCAAGAGUUUGACUUGUAAUCUUGACUCUGAGAGUGAGACACAGAUAUCUCAGUGCACAGAUUUUGCAGACAUAAUGCAGGCAAGUGGACUAUUUGAUGAGCCCUUCAUGUCCUGACAAUGCCUCCUACCACAGAGCUGACCUGAGCAAAAUUUUUCAUCUCAUAUGAUAAUAUUUAAAUUUAAAAUGUG